rnacentral:lncRNA from 1 species
CUUCUUUUGGCUAACAAUAUUGGUCGGCAGUAUCGUCCAAAGAAAAGACCAAAUUCACCAAAAGGUAGAAAUUUUAGUUUUGUGCCUACUCCCCUCCCCGGCAUCCCCCCUGAUUUCUACCUUUCUCUUAACUUAAGACGUACAAUUGAAAAAGAUUCAGUGCAACUGUGUCAAUCGAGAUGACCCAUGGCUCUGAUUGGUUCAACUCCGUUAUAAGCAAAUCUUCCAAGUUCUAUGCAUGUUAAAAUAUAGUGUCAACUUAUCUCUCCAGUGGCCUACUCAAAAUCUGUCACAAUACCUGGUUGGCAUGGCCUCAUCCUCGUGCAUUUCCGCGGUCUGGUUGAUUCUCAAUGGGAAAAAAAGCAAAUAUAAUUAAUCAUGGAUGACCACAGAUGUUGCCGGAACCUUAUCUAUAAGGCACAGAACAUUAGAAAAAUUAAGAGCCGGCUGGUUUACCGAUGGCUGUUCAAUAUCUUGAUGUCUUGAAGUUGAAACCUCUGUGGGGCUUUGGAAAAAUGAACGUCCUUUCAGUAAUGUGCAUGCAGGUUACGGGCUUAAUUUGAUUGAGUUUGAUAUAAAUUUGAACAAUUUUUAUUGAUGGUUUUGGUUAAAAAUAUUGCAGAGUCGGGCUUACGUUUCUCGGACCAAUUUCCAUGAGAAGUAACUCCGCCUGUGUCUUGAUUAAGGCAUUUAUCUUUACACAGCCGGUCCCAAGCCCGGAUAAAGGAGGAGGGUUGCACCGAGAAUAGCAAUACCACACGUACGGUAAUGCCUUGUGCGAUAUUAAAAACAUUUAGGAGAACAAUUCAUUCUACAUUGGACAUGAGUUAGUAAUCUGUUGUAUCUGAUGCACAUAAAAGAUAUUGCUCCAACGUUAAGGAAAAGGUCUCUGGCAAUCCAUAGGUCCAUAAUCUCUAUCUUCCAUUAUCUUUCAGUUAAAUCUUAAUUUGGUCCUUUAUUUGCUGGUCGGUUCUUUUCCUCGAUGAAAGCAAACCGCCAUUUUCUUUUGUCAUCGAAGAUUGUAUGUAAAAAAAUAAAAACAAAAAUGGAGUGACUGAGUUAAGGCUUGAAGCUCCCAACUUGUUUUAUUAUCCCUAGUCCUCGCAUUUGCAGGAAUUUUAGCUUUAACUCUUAGUUUGUAUAGCUGGUCUUAAAAUGAAGGCAACUUUUGAUUUUUCCCUUUAAGUGUCAACUCAUUGUAUUUUUCUUUUGCCUUCUUGUAAGUGUUGUUGCGGUUGCGUCGAUCUCCAUGUGAUAAGAAAACUGGAAUAAUUAUGCCAAAACAGUGUGGUUUAACAGUUGCCUUUGUUAAAGUAUGGCCUAAAGUAUUUUGAUGUCUCUUUAGCAGUGAGCAGUAUACAAUAGAAGGAAAGAAAGAGGAAGGAAGAAAGAAAGGAAAGAUUCAAAGAGAGAAAGAAGGACAAAAAACAAAAGGUAUGGCAUAAAGGAAAACUAUUAGUAAUAUUAGUAAAAUAAAACAAAAAAAGGCAGGAGUUUGGAACUUGGGAGAGAAAGAAAGAAAAAAAGCAAGCGUGAAGCGUGCAUCGGGCAAGCUGGGCACAAGUAGUUGAUAUGGGCGGUGGGCGGAGAAUCCAUCAAAUAGAGGCCCACCCGAAGCCCGCGCCACCCAGCUCUAACUUUAAUGCCUCUCUCUCUCUCUGUGACUGUAUGUCUGAAUACUGCUAAUGUGCUUAUUAUGUAUUCUAUUCUGCUUUCUUUUUGCUUAUUUGCUUUUGAUUUAUAUUUUUUUAUAAAUAAAAGGAAAACAGUACUCCU